GCGAUUUCGAGGAGUUGAAGAGCAAUUUGAUGGAUUAAAAAGUGAUUUGAAUAUGUUAAGGUGCUUUCUGGAAGAUGCAGAUGCCAAGAAACAUACAAGUGCAAUGAGAUCAAGGAAAUUGUCUAUGAGGCUGAUGAUAUAAUCGAAACCUUUCUCUUGAAAGGAGAACUUGGAAAAACGAAGGGCAUGAUCAGGAACAGUGUAAGAAGGGUUUCCAAACGCACGGGGCUUGCUUCUGAUAAUAGAGAAAUAAGUACGAGGAUCUCUAAGGUGAUUCGGGAUAUGCAAAGUCUUGGCGUACAACAAGUCAUUGUCAAUGAAAGGGAUACAAAGUCUCUACAGGAAAGACAAAGAGAAAUGCGACAAACUUUUUCUAGCGAUAAUGAAGAUCAUCUUGUCGGGUUGGACAAGAGUGUUGAGCAAUUGAUUGGCUAUUUGGUGGAGGAAGAUAGGAGUCAAGUGGUUUCUAUAACUGGAUGGGCGGUAUCGGUAAAACCACCCUCGCAAGACUAGUUUUUUUAAUCAUGAGACAGUAAAAAGUCAUUUCGCAGGACUUGCGUGGGUAUGUGUUUCACAGCAACUUACAAGGAAGUAUGUAUGGCAGACGAUCUUGCGGAAACUUGGGCCAGAGUAUAAGGUGUCAAAGAUGACUGAAGACGAACUUCAUGAAAAACUCGUUCAAGUGUUGGAAAGUCAAAACACUUUGAUUGUCAUGGAUGAUAUAUAUAUGGAGAGAAGAAGUUUGGGACAUAAUUAAACUAAUGUUUCCACGGACAAAAGGUUAGAAGGUACUACUUACUUCUCGCAAUGAGGGUGUGGGGUUGCAAGCUGAUCCAAAAUGUUUCACCUCUAAACCAAAUUGUCUAACUCUAGAAGAGUGUUGGACAAUUUUCCAAAGGAUAGUGUUUCCUAGAGAAGACACUACUGCGCCACCUCUUUUGGAAUAUAUCAUGUUUAUGUUUUACAAGACUGUAGCUGUUGAGGGUGUUAGAUCUUUCUGGGGCCGUAUUUAUGGGUGAAAAUUUACCCCCUAGCAUUGGAGAGCUCAUUCACUUAAAAUACUUGAAUUUAAACCAAGUAAAGUUAACUCAUCUACCUUCUUCUAUCGGGAAUCUGAAGCUGCUCUGCUCCUCUAUUUGAAUAUAAAUGUAUAUUCACAUGUAUUUCCACCCCGCAUGUCCAAUUUCUUGAAGAAGUUGCGAGAAUUGAGAUACCUCGCUUUACCGCAUAAAAUAAAAGGUGAGACAAAGUUGGAAUUAGGUAAUCUAAUCAACUUGGAGAGACUUGGUAAUUUCUCAACAAAGCAUAGCAGUAUGACGGAUCUUCAAGGUAUGACAAGGCUAAGGGGUCUCUCAGUCAUAUUUAACGGCGACGAUUGCACUUUGGAAACUCUAUCUUUAUCUCUUCGUGAUUUGAUACACCUCGAAAAUCUUACAAUUAUUUAAAGUAUAAAGGUGUUUCUACUUCUGGUGAGAAAUCUUCUAUUCUUCUUUAAACUGUUAUUUGCAUGAAUGUCUCCUUUUUCUCCUUCCGGUAUGUUCUGUCGGUUUAUCCAGCAUAUAUCACGGCUAUU